ensembl:lncRNA
CUGUUGUUGCUAGUAUCAACAUAGUCUAACUUCAGUUCUUUACCACUGAAGGAUAUAUGAACACAGAUGUCUGAUGCCAGGUCUUACACACCGAGGAUCCAACUACUCUUUCUAUGAACAUUAAUGGAGCUGCAGUGAUAGAGCUUAACAUUGUAAAAGAGAGAUAAGCCACAGCUAAAUGGAGGCAUCUCAGGAGGCAUUGACCCAAGUGCCCAUGAAUGCCAUGUUGGCAGAAGAAGAAGGAUAAAAAAGGGGCCAACAACCAUGAGGGUACUUGCUCUGUCACCGUACCUGCUUGCUGCCUAAGGCCGGCCACACUGCUGCUGCUCUCCCCCUGUGCUUUUGCCUUGGACUGUCAGAACGGCGUGUGACAGGACACUGUUGGAUCUUGGUGGGCAAAUAAACAGAAACAAGAGGAAAAAACACUACAUGACAGGCUUGGAGUGAUAGACUGAAAUUCUCUGCUGUACGCUCUGCUUCAAACGUAAUGGUGAACAGAUUGCACCAAUAAUAGCCUCCAUUCCUCAAAAAAGAAGCUAAGGAAAAGUUUCAAUUGUCCAUUUACAAGCAUCAAAUCUAUGAAAAAAAUAUGAUCAACUUUGCAGCGAGAAUCAGAUGGAUUACUGUCUGGAAAGAAUGGACAAAUUCUCCUUCCAUGAGUAAUCAAUCAUUGGCCUAUGCGUAGCAGAAGGUGCCUGGAGGAGAACUCUGGGCCAUACAGAAUUCUGACCUCAGAGCUCCAGUACUGAUAAAGGAUUAAAUCUUCUGCAGUGUGUGAAAUGGUCUUCAGGCCAGAGCAGCUAGUCUAAGUUUGUUUCUGUACCUAUAAGGAGCAAUUUGGAGGGACUCACAAAAACAAAACAAACAUAGACAAGCAAAAACCAGAGACAGCAGCCAAAUACUGCAUCAUUCAUAUUUGGCAGCUAUGAUAUUGGUUUAUGUUUGUCUGUUGUGUCAAUAUUUAAUACAAGUCUUCUGCUGUGAGUCUGUCUUACGCUUUUAACAAUAGUGCCUGUUAUAUGCAUCCCCCUGAGGAACUGAGAUGUCUUAAACAGUGUGGAAACAAGACUGAAAAAGAAAAGAUCCUAGGUCUCCCAUUUGCUUUCUAAGAAAUCGUUUGAUGCCACUGAGAAAGAUUCAAGAAAGCUUCAGAACAUAAAUAAUUUCCUGCACUACAGAAGACAAUGUGAUGUUAAGCAAUUGGCUGUAGGAAACUUGAAGUAUGGGAAUAUUUAUUGAAGCUCCUGGAUUUAAGGUGUUUUCAUUCUCACUGAAUCUAGUGCUUGCGGUUCCUCCCUGAAGACUGAUAUAGGAAAAUCACUCUUGUAAAGAAGUUCUUGACUGACAGUGCACAAUAAUUUAGUCCAAUGAUUAUAAGUUAUGGCCCAGAAAGUGCUGAAGAAGUGUAAUUGCUCCUACAUACCAAGAAGGAAUGACUGAAAAAAGUAAGAUUAUUGUCAGUAGCGAAAAUUUAUAGUGCAGGAGUCUGCACUUCCAUGAGAAUGGUUUAAGUAUCAGUAAAUUGUAAAAGAUGGAAAAAUAUUUGCUUGUCACUGGUGAUAUUUACUCAAGAAAUUGAAGAGAGAAAUCGGAUUCUGUGCUUAUCUCAGGAAUAUUAUAUCCUGGACAUUGUAGCUUUUAACUAUUUAUGGAAUAAGCAGGAAAAUUCUUGACUUUCUGUUCAAAAUGAGCCAUUCUGUAGCCAGGAAUGAGAAAGUCAAGAAACCAGAAGGAGAACUAACAGAAAUUGUAUGACUCUAAAAUACAGAUUGAAAAUAUCACAAACUAUUGGGAGAUUUUACAGCAGUAAGUCACUAAAUAGUGGAUAGGGAAAAUUUAUUUUGCAUUAGGGCAUCUUGACAAUAUAAUGCAUGUUACACUGGUCAAAAAUUUCUAAAAUGUUUCAAGCCAUAUAAAAAGAAAUCAAAAUGUUAUAAGGUACAUACUACAGAUUCCUGGAUGAAUAAAUACACUGUAGAAUGGUAAUAUCUUACAAAUCUUCCAGAAUUGGAAAAUUUGAAAAAAUAAAGGAAGAUAAAUAAAUAGCAAAUUGUAUUUCUGGGCUUGUGGAGUGAUUCUCUACAGUUUCUAGAAUUUUUUUUUUUUAUUUUAUUUUUUAUUUUUUUUUUUUGACCACAGAGAAAACCCUGUAUCCUGUAUUCAUGAUUUGGAUAGGCAAAAGUUUUGACUGUGUGCUUCUUGACUUGCUACAAUACACUGGAACAUACUAUCUUCUAUUAAAGCACUGUUUUUCACAUAAAGUAUUUUUUGAACAUAACGUUCACAACUAUAAGUAUGCUUUUUAAGAUAAAAUUAUUUUUUCCUGACAGGUAACAUUUUAUUCAAUUCAGCAUUUUACUCAUGUUCAGUGAAAUACAGUAACUUCAGCUGGGUCAAGACUUCAUGUAACCACAUCAGCAUGACAAAUUAAAUUACAGGACUGAAAUCUAACUUGGAAAAAUGUUUUCUCUUGUUAGAAUGUUCUUUGUCCAGAACAAGUCUAAAUCUGUAAUGAACUGUCCAAAUUACGGGCUGAUACUUCAGUUAUUUGUUGAAUUCUACUUGCGUCGAAAAAUUACUGCUCAAAUACUAAAUAUUUGCUUUUCAGGACACAUUUUCACGAAGUAGAAGUGAGGAGUGACUAUGAACUACAGAGCUGAACUCUUAUGGACAGUGGAAACAGUAGAGAAAGAUCUCAUGAAUAUCCAGAUAGAUGCAUUAGCUGCCAGCUGAGAAUCUAUGCAUUAUUGCAUUGCUCUAGAUUUACUGAAAAGCCUGAUACAAAUUACAAAAUGAAUGCUACUCGAUAAAAAGCGUAUCAAUCUAUCUAUCUAUCUAUCUAUCUAUCUAUCUAUCUAUUUAUCUAUCUAUUUAUGUAGGUAUGCAUGUAUGUACGUGUUAAACUUCUGGC